rnacentral:rRNA from 1 species
GACGAACGCUGGCGGCGUGCUUAACACAUGCAAGUCGAGCGGUAAGGCCCUUUCGGGGGUACGACGAGCGGCGAACGGGUGAGUAACACGUGGGUGACCUGCCCUCAGCUCUGGGAUAAGCCUGGGAAACCGGGUCUAAUACUGGAUAUGACUCCAUGACGCAUGUUGUGGGGUGGAAAGCCUUGUGCGGCUGAGGAUGGGCCCGCGGCCUAUCAGCUUGUUGGUGGGGUGAUGGCCUACCAAGGCGACGACGGGUAGCCGGCCUGAGAGGG